CCUACGGGUGGCAGCAGUGAGGAAUAUUGGUCAAUGGUCGGGAGACUGAACCAGCCAAGCCGCGUGAGGGAGGAAGGUACAGAGUAUCGUAAACCUCUUUUGUCAGGGAACAAAGGCGGGGACGUGUCCCCGGAUGAGUGUACCUGAAGAAAAAGCAUCGGCUAACUCCGUGCCAGCAGCCGCGGUAAUACGGAGGAUGCGAGCGUUAUCCGGAUUUAUUGGGUUUAAAGGGUGCGCAGGCGGUCUGUUAAGUCAGGGGUCAAAGCCCGGGGCUCAACCCCGGCCCGCCGUUGAAACUGGCAGUCUAGAGUUGGAGAGAGGGAUGCGGAAUGCGCGGUGUAGCGGGGAAAUGCAUAGAUAUCGCGCAGAACUCCGAUUGCGAAGGCAGCAUGCCGGCUCCACACUGACGCUGAGGCACGAAAGCGUGGGUAUCGAACAGGAUUAGAUACCCUAGUAGUC
rnacentral:rRNA from 1 species